ACGUUUGGAGGACGCAUGCGCCCUGCUGGACUGCCUUGUUGAGGUUUAGGUAUUCCGUGGUCGAGGUCCGCGGUUCCGUGGUGUAUGCUUGCGUUGGGUGGUUCUGCUCCACGCCGGAGUUUGCAAAUCUGUGUAGGAGGCAGCUGCUGCAUUUGGGACCCUCGGGAUGUCUGUUUUCUGUUACCUUGCAAUACAGUUGUGUAUGCAUUUAUAUUCACUCCCUAGACUAGACGGUGGAAUUUAAGAGGGCAAGACCCUGCACUUAUACGCCUGGGAUUGACACGGGAAAUCGGACCCUUAGUUUCAGGUGCUGUCUUUAGCUCUACAGAUACAGCAGAGAACAAAGGAGAAUUGGCCUUGCCCAAGUGGAGCUAAAGUCUCUUCUGGAACCUGAACGAAAGCCCCCAUGAAGACAGAGGUUCUGUCUCUCUCAUCCACGGCUCCAGCACCAGGAGCCACAGCAGAGCCUGGUCCAUGGUUGACGUUGCUGGGAGCACGGAAGGAGACCAAUCUUCCCUACAGACCAAAGAUAAAUUUCUUUUGAAGUACUUUGGAUGGACAAAAAAUCUGUUCAAAAGAUCAAAGGGUGAUUAUUUUACCAAAUUAUUAUUUGAAGGAUACGCUCACCAUGAUCAUACAACUAUUUUUUGAUUUAUGGAAAUACAAUUGGUAUUCAACUUUUUAGGAGUAUGUUUAGCGUGUAACACAAGAACAAAUUGCAUGAAGUAAGAGCCCACGUCUGUGUUGUUUCUCACUAAGAUCAGCACCUUUCUGGCCACCUAGUAGGCUUUUGAAUAUCUGUGUGAUUGAUUUCAAUACUGGAAUAUGUUUUCUGUUAAAUCUCAAGGGCAUCAGUUCUGCAGUUCUCCCUUUAUAGUUGUUAACAUGAAUUUUGAUGACACGAAAAA